rnacentral:rRNA from 1 species
AGUGGCGAACGGCUGAGUAACACGUGGAGAACCUGCCCCCUCCCCCGGGAUAGCCGCCCGAAAGGACGGGUAAUACCGGAUACCCCCGGGCGCCGCAUGGCGCCCGGGCUAAAGCCCCGACGGGAGGGGAUGGCUCCGCGGCCCCAUCAGGUAGACGGCGGGGUGACGGCCCACCGUGCCGACAACGGGUAGCCGGGUUGAGAGACCGACCGGCCAGAUUGGGACUGAGACACGGCCCAGACUCCUACGGGAGGCAGCAUG